rnacentral:rRNA from 1 species
GAUGAACGCUGGCGGCGUGCUUAAUACAUGCAAGUCGAACGGAGAGUUAGCAAUAGCUCUUAGUGGCGAACGGGCGAGUAACACGUUGGUGACCUGUCCCAUAGUUGGGGAUAACAGUUCGAAAGGACUGCUAAUACCCGAUGUGGUUAUCGAGGCUAGAGGCUUGGUAACUAAAGGAGUAAUCCGCUAAGGGAGGGGCCUGCGUCCCAUCAGCUAGUUGGCAGGGUAAAAGCCUACCAAGGCGAAGACGGGUAGGGGACCUGAGAGGGUGAUCCCCCACACUGGCACUGAAACACGGGCCAGACACCUACGGGUGGCAGCAGUAGGGAAUAUUGCACAAUGGGCGAAAGCCUGAUGCAGCAACGCCGCGUGCGCGAGGAAGGCCUUCGGGUCGUAAAGCGCUUUUUUGGGAGAUGAGGAAGGACAGUAUCCCAAGAAUAAGGCUCGGCUAACUACGUGCCAGCAGCCGCGGUAAAACGUAGGAGCCAAGCGUUAUCCGAAUUCACUGGGCGUAAAGCGCGUGCAGGCGGCUUGGUAAGUUGGAUGUGAAAUCUCCUGGCUCAACUAGGAGAGGCCGUUCAAUACUGUCAGGCUAGAGGGCGACAGAGGAAAGUGGAAUUCCCGGUGUAGUGGUGAAAUGCGUAGAUAUCGGGAGGAACACCAGUGGCGAAGGCGACUUUCUGGGUCGCACCUGACGCUCAGACGCGAAAGCUAGGGGAGCAAACGGGAUUAGAAACCCCGGUAGUCCUAGCCGUAAACGAUGUAGACUUGGUGUCGGCGGGGUAAAAGCCGUCGGUGCCGAAGCAAACGCGAUAAGUCUACCGCCUGGGGACUACGGCCGCAAGGUUAAAACUCAAAGGGAAUUGACGGGGGCCCGCACAAGCAGCGGAGCGUGUGGUUUAAUUCGAUGUUACACGAAGAACCUUACCCAGGUUUGACAUGCAAGUGGUAGUGAAGCGAAAGCAGAACGACCCUUCGGGGAGCUUGCACAGGUGCUGCAUGGCUGUCGUCAGCUCGUGUCGUGAGAUGUCCGGUUAAGUCCGGUAACG